rnacentral:rRNA from 1 species
CAGUCGCCACGGUAAUACGUAGGGUGCAAGCGUUAAUCGGAAUUACUGGGCGUAAAGCGUGCGCAGGCGGUUUGUUAAGACAGAUGUGAAAUCCCCGGGCUUAACCUGGGAACUGCAUUUGUGACUGGCAAGCUAGAGUGUGGCAGAGGGGGGUGGAAUUCCGCGUGUAGCAGUGAAAUGCGUAGAUAUGCGGAGGAACACCGAUGGCGAAGGCAGCCCCCUGGGCCAACACUGACGCUCAUGCACGAAAGCGUGGGGAGCAAACAGGAUUAGAUACCCGCGUAGUCCCUGUCUCUUAUCC